AGUGAACGCUGGCGGUAGGCCUAACACAUGCAAGUCGAACGGCAGCACAGUAAGAGUUUGCUCUUACGGGUGGCGAGUGGCGGACGGGUGAGGAAUACAUCGGAAUCUACUUUUUCGUGGGGGAUAACGUAGGGAAACUUACGCUAAUACCGCAUACGACCUACGGGUGAAAGCAGGGGAUCUUCGGACCUUGCGCGAUUGAAUGAGCCGAUGUCGGAUUAGCUAGUUGGCGGGGUAAAGGCCCACCAAGGCGACGAUCCGUAGCUGGUCUGAGAGGAUGAUCAGCCACACUGGAACUGAGACACGGUCCAGACUCCUACGGGAGGCAGCAGUGGGGAAUAUUGGACAAUGGGCGCAAGCCUGAUCCAGCCAUACCGCAUGGGUGAAGAAGGCCUUCGGGUUGUAAAGCCCUUUUGUUGGGAAAGAAAAGCAGCAGGUUAAUACCCCGCUGUUCUGACGGUACCCAAAGAAUAAGCACCGGCUAACUUCGUG
rnacentral:rRNA from 1 species